rnacentral:rRNA from 1 species
GAUGAUCGCUGGCGGCGUGCCUAAUACAUGCAAGUCGAGCGAACAGACGAGGAGCUUGCUCCUCUGACGUUAGCGGCGGACGGGUGAGUAACACGUGGAUAACCUACCUAUAAGACUGGGAUAACUUCGGGAAACCGGAGCUAAUACCGGAUAAUAUAUUGAACCGCAUGGUUCAAUAGUGAAAGACGGUUUUGCUGUCACUUAUAGAUGGAUCCGCUCCGCAUUAGCUAGUUGGUAAGGUAACGGCUUACCAAGGCAACGAUGCGUAGCCGACCUGAGAGGGUGAUCGGCCACACUGGAACUGAGACACGGUCCAGACUCCUACGGGAGGCAGCAGUAGGGAAUCUUCCGCAAUGCGCGAAAGCCUGACGGAGCAACGCCGCGUGAGUGAUGAAGGUCUUCGGAUCGUAAAACUCUGUUAUUAGGGAAGAACAAAUGUGUAAGUAACUAUGCACGUCUUGACGGUACCUAAUCAGAAAGCCACGGCUAACUACGUG